rnacentral:rRNA from 2 species
GGGAUUAGUGGCGAACGGGUGAGUAACACGUGGGCAAUCUGCCCUGCACUCUGGGACAAGCCCUGGAAACGGGGUCUAAUACCGGAUAUUGACCUUCACGGGCAUCUGUGAGGUUCGAAAGCUCCGGCGGUGCAGGAUGAGCCCGCGGCCUAUCAGCUUGUUGGUGAGGUAAUGGCUCACCAAGGCGACGACGGGUAGCCGGCCUGAGAGGGCGACCGGCCACACUGGGACUGAGACACGGCCCAGACUCCUACGGGAGGCAGCAGUGGGGAAUAUUGCACAAUGGGCGAAAGCCUGAUGCAGCGACGCCGCGUGAGGGAUGACGGCCUUCGGGUUGUAAACCUCUUUCAGCAGGGAAGAAGCGAAAGUGACGGUACCUGCAGAAGAAGCGCCGGCUAACUACGUGCCAGCAGCCGCGGUAAUACGUAGGGCGCAAGCGUUGUCCGGAAUUAUUGGGCGUAAAGAGCUCGUAGGCGGCUUGUCACGUCGGUUGUGAAAGCCCGGGGCUUAACCCCGGGUCUGCAGUCGAUACGGGCAGGCUAGAGUUCGGUAGGGGAGAUCGGAAUUCCUGGUGUAGCGGUGAAAUGCGCAGAUAUCAGGAGGAACACCGGUGGCGAAGGCGGAUCUCUGGGCCGAUACUGACGCUGAGGAGCGAAAGCGUGGGGAGCGAACAGGAUUAGAUACCCUGGUAGUCCACGCC